AGGACUAACGCUGGCGGCGUGCCUAACACAUGCAAGUCGAACGAGGUAGCAAUACCUAGUGGCAGACGGGUGAGUAACGCGUGGUCAACCUACCUCUUAGUGGGGGAUAACUAGCCGAAAGGUUAGCUAAUACCGCAUACGAUCGUCGCGAGGCAUCUCGUGACGAUGAAAGGAGCAAUUCGCUAAGAGAGGGGACUGCGUCCCAUUAGUUAGUUGGUGGGGUAAUGGCCUACCAAGACUCCGAUGGGUAGCUGGCUUGAGAGAGCGACCAGCCACACUGGAACUGAGACACGGUCCAGACUCCUACGGGAGGCAGCAGUGAGGAAUUUUCCGCAAUGGGCGCAAGCCUGACGGAGCGACGCCGCGUGUGGGAGAAGGCCUUCGGGUCGUAACCACUGUCGAGGGGGACGAUAUUGACGGUACCCCUGGAGGAAGCCCCGGCUAACUACGUGCCAGCAGCCGC
rnacentral:rRNA from 1 species